GGACACAUAUACACAUAAAUAAUUUUUAAGGUUAUAAAAAAUAAAUGAAAUGCCCUUUUCAAAGAAAGAAACAACAGAAAUAUAUCUUCUCCCCAUGCUGGCCGCGCUAUCCCCACUCCCAGCAUCUCGACCUCAGCAGCCUGGAAAUGUCUCCAGCCUGCUGCAGUCCUACUGUGGGAAGGGAACUGAGGGGAACACGGGUAUAGUGGCGACACUGCAGACAAAUUUGAGUCAGUGUUGGCAAGACCUAAGACUGACUAGCUACAUGAGGUCCUACUGUGUGCACCAGGCACUGUGUUCUCCCUGUGUCAGAGUCUCCAUUUUCUUUCCUGAGGAACUUGAGGGCAGCAUCUCCUGUUGACAGACAAGGACGCUGAGAACAAGUUGCAAGGACUUGGCCCAUGGCUUCCUAGCCUGAGUCGUGAUCUUAUUCAGUAACUGCUUUUCAUUGAAGUCUGGCAGGUCUUAGCUUCUCAGCUUGGCUUACAGCAAAGUUAGCUGAGCUCGCAACAGGAAGGCCACAGGAAGCGCUUAGGUAGGAGGUGAGUGUCUGAGACUAUAGCAGCUGACCCAGACUGCUGCAUCUGAGGAGGUAGCUCUUUCUCCCCAGGGUCCUUCACACACAGAAGGUGCAGCUGGGCUGAAGGUGGCCUGGGUGUUUGCAGUGCAUGACAGGAGCAGAGUAGGUUUUGUAAAAACUACCUCAGGCUGGCUUUGUCUGACCCUUUUAGGAAGGGUCAGAAACUUGAGACAUUUGACAGCUUUAGUUAAUAAAAAACUAGCAGCUAAUUUACAUACCUUUUAAAUUCUCAUAUUCCUCAUACGUUAUAUUGAAUUCCACAAAUGUCAAUCCAUUGAUGGAUUUAGAAGUAAUUGUAAAUUAGGAACAGGGUCUGAGCUAGCGUGAAGUGUUCCAAUGGCUGUGGCAUCGGGGCCAUCUGUUGCCCUGAAGCAGAGAAUGGGAUGAACUCUUUCUGCUUCUGCAUAGAGGAACUCAGGAAACAGCAUGGUCCAUUGUCCACCUCACAGGAGUGAUCCCCACAGACCCGGGCAGACUCUCCAGCUGCGAGUUCAUCUUUAGGCAGUGCAACCUUCCUCUGGAAUUUCUGUAGGAAGCUAUAUUCUUGUUCUGGCUGGGGGGUUCUCAGGGGAUCCCCCAGUGCCUGGGGGGGUCGGUGAUAUUCAGGGCGGUUCCAGCUAAUCAACUUCACUUGUGAUGGAAAAAGCUAAUGUAAAAAGAGCAUCCAGAGAGAUCCCGUCAAAUGGCUAAUGUCUUAAAGCACAUUAAGGGGAAGGAAACUGGGGACUGCAAGGUGAGGCUUGCCUGAACUGCACAGUGAGACCUUGUCUCCAGAAAACAGAACAAAGCCUGCCAGGGCCUCUGUCUUGUUUUGUUUUGUUUUGUUUUGUUUUGUUUUGUUUUUUAACCUUCAGUACAUUGCUAUUGUAAAGAGAGGGUGGGACCCUCAUGGGCAGGGUACCACAGAGCCUAGGCAAGACUGGAAGGUCCUGGGCAGAGCUAUCGGCAGCACUUGAGCCUGGUGCCUGUCCAGUGCUCCGUGUGCUGCCCUCUAAGGUCGCUGUUUACAGGUAAAUAUUUCGACCAACAUUCGAAAGCAGGGGUACGGGAGUGAAAUCUGUAAAGUCAACCCCUCAAUCUUUCCCCUGGUCUGGCACCAGCCCUGCCUCAGCUUCCUGUUUGCAAUGGGGAGCCACCAGUGCAAAACUGAGAUAACAGCCAGCUCGCUCUUUUUUUUUUCUUUUUUAAUUCUCUCACUUUUUAGGUUAGUUCUUAUCCAAACCUCUUUCUAAAGCUUUCUAAACCCCAAGAAACAAAACAAAACUUGCAGGCUUCAGGAGCCAAGUCUGUUUAAAUAGACACUCUUGCUCAUUCCUUUUCUUCCAUCACAAACAUCGAGAAGAGCUUGUUGGAUAGCGUCUUCAGUUAUACACAUUACUGCUAUCCUGACAGUUCCCACAUUGUCGAGUGUCGCCCCACCUCCCACCCCCAUCCAUAACGCCCAUCUUUUUUUAAACAAAGGAAUUGUGUUCCUUUUCAAAAACAGUUGGGCUGGCUCACUGCAUGUUAGCUAGCGCUGACUGUUGGAGUGCUAAUGAGCGCGUGGGAUUGGCUGGGACUGUGCUUUUCUGUGCGGUUACAGAAGGGACGAGGACUUCAGGGGUUUUUACAUCCUUACUGACAAAGAUGAACUCCCUAUUAUAUAUAGUCCCUUGAUUUUGAGUGUGAAUUAGUCAUAUUUUAAGAUUUGGCCCGUAAGUACUCAGGUCUGAAUGUUUGCUGUGUUGUAGCCCGUGUCUACUCCAGGCUCAGCUAGAGCAAGGGCUUUUCUCAGGGUUAGAAAUCCCCUUUCGGUCAAAGGAUGCUUGCUGCAUUCUGGUUGCUCUGGUCAGUGUACAUCAAGAGGAUUUCUUGCUCCUUUCUUCUUGUAUUACAUAUUGGUGUUCCUCUGUGAACACUGGUACUUGGAAGGCUGAGACAGGAGAAUUGCCCUGAGCUUAAAAUCAGUCAAGGCUCCAGAGUCAGAUCCUGUCUCAAGUAAACGGACAAAUAAAUAAGUUAGUGUUCUAAGAAACCAAUAUUUUUCUUUCUUUCCAAGAAACAAUGAAAGUGUAUUAUUUGGC
rnacentral:lncRNA from 1 species